rnacentral:rRNA from 1 species
AAGGCUCAAAUGAACUAAAGGGACGAUAAGACCCUAUAAAGUUUUACAUUAAUUUUUUGAAAUAUAAGUUAUAAGUUUAAAAUUAAUUAAAAAUGAAAUGUUUACGUUGGGGCGACAAAAAUAUAAUUAAUAUUAACUGUUUUAUUAAUAGGGCCAAAGGUGUUUGGGUAGAGGACUUUUUAUUAAAGUGGUAGAGUAAGUUACUUUAGGGAUAACAGCGUAAUUUUUUUUAAGAGUUCUUAUCGACAGAAAAGUUUGCGACCUCGAUGUUGAAUUAAAGAGUCUUUACAGCGCAGAAGCUGUAGGAGAAGGUCUGUUCGACUUUUAAAUCUUUACAUGAUUUGAGUUCAAACCGGACCC